rnacentral:lncRNA from 1 species
GUUGCUUCCAUGUUGAAGAGAGCUGUAGCCCGUAUUUCAUCCAAUUUGUCCAACUCUGCCAACCGAUAUUGGAGUGAUUCCUUAUCUCCAAGACGUUCGUCGAACGCAAUGCGCAAACUCUGAACUUCCAAUUCAAUUGGUAAUAUUGUUUCUUGCCCGUACACCAAUCGGAAUGGUGUGGAAUUGGUAGUCACUUCAUAUGCAGUAC